UACGUAGGGUGCAAGCGUUGUCCGGAAUUAUUGGGCGUAAAGAGCUCGUAGGCGGUCCAUCGCGUCGGGAGUGAAAAGCUGGGGCUUAACCCCAGUCCUGCUUCCGAUACGGGUGGACUAGAGGUAGGUAGGGGAGAUCGGAAUUCCUGGUGUAGCGGUGAAAUACGCAGAUAUCAGGAGGAACACCGGUGGCGAAGGCGGAUCUCUGGGCCUUACCUGACGCUGAGGAGCGAAAGCAUGGGGAGCAAACAGG
rnacentral:rRNA from 1 species